rnacentral:rRNA from 1 species
CGGGUGAGUAACGCGUGAGGAACCUGCCUCAAAGAGGGGGACAACAGUUGGAAACGGCUGCUAAUACCGCAUAAGCCCACGGCUCGGCAUCGAGCAGAGGGAAAAGGAGCAAUCCGCUUUGAGAUGGCCUCGCGUCCGAUUAGCUAGUUGGUGAGGUAAUGGCCCACCAAGGCAACGAUCGGUAGCCGGACUGAGAGGUUGAACGGCCACAUUGGGGCUGAGACACGGCCCAG